AAGUCGUAACAAGGUUUCCGUAGGUGAACCUGCGGAAGGAAUCUUAUUUAGAGUUGUGAAUGGGGCUUGAUGCCAUGGGCUUAGUCCAACGUGCCUUUGGCUGGCAUGUGCUCGCCCCAGCAAUCCUUUUCCAAACACCUGUGCACCUUCCUUGUGAGAAUGGGAGAGAAAGGGCUUGCCUCUUUUAUCUCGUCUCAUGAUUCAUAAACGCUGUUUGUAAUGUUGAAUGCAUUUAUGCCGUCAAGGCUUUAACCUAAUACAA
rnacentral:misc_RNA from 1 species